AUGAAUUAAAUGAUGAGGUUGUCGCUGGCCAUUCUUAUUGGCAUGUGCACGCCUUGUCAAUUCAUCCAUACAUCUUUGUGCACCUUUCAUAGAUUGGUUCAUUAACAGAAGUUGCCUUUUGGUGGCUUUUGAGCCUCUCUGUGUUAUUACAAACAUUUCAGUCUUAGAAUGUAAAUUAUGCAAUUUAAUGCAAUGAAAUA
rnacentral:misc_RNA from 1 species